UCCUGGUAAAUAAGGAAAGUCAUGUGUCAUAGUCUGCUGGGAGGAAAUUACUUGCUUAACAAUAUUAAGGAGCAGUUAAAUGUUUAUUUUCUUCUCUUACCAGUUAUUAUUACUAGUAUAUCUGUUUUUUGAUAGUUUGGUAACAUCUGACUUUUAGACAGGAUCUUGUUAUCCCUCAAACAUGUGGUCAUGUUCCUUUGUCAGCCUCCCGAGAGCACAACCACCUCUGGCUAUCAAGUGACACAUGACCUCUCAAUAUAGCUUCAAAUGGGCUAGCUUACUAUAUUAGCAUUCUGAAUUAUUUCACAAAUACUUGCUAGCCUCUAUCUAUGGCUGUUAGGCUCUAUAUUCUAUACUAUCAAAACUCAUACAAAUCUUCAGCAAGAUCCACACAUAGAACUAAACAAAAAAACCCCAAAACUCAUUGUAUGAAUGAAAAAAGCUGAGGUAGAAACCAAGAUGAGUAUACAAAAUCUAAAGAAGAAAAGAGAAAAAAACUUUUGUAAUAUUAGAAAAGAUUUCUUAGGUACCUGAAGAAAACAAACCAACGGCAAAAGAAAACCUAAUUAGUUGAAUUUCCUUGGCAUUUAAAAAUGUUUAGUCUUCAAAAACUUUAUUGUUAAAUGGAAAGAUAUUCGCCACCAAUCCUGAUGAGUGAAGGCAGGUUGGGUCCCACCCGCCUGGAUGGGAUGAGAUUGUAGGUCUGAUGGCACCCAGGCAGCCUGCAUACAAGUAUCUUCAUACCUUGCCAAGGUAUAAAGUGUUAAUGACCUGCUUUGAAAAAUAGUCUGGCAGUUUCUAGAAAUGAAACACACAACAACUUUCUGCUAAUAAAACUCAAAAAAGUGGGAAGGGGCAAGUGUCCUGAUGGACAGUACAGUAGAAGACACAGUCUACAAAGUAAACUCACACUGGAUGUCAAUCAACAAAGGAAAGCAAACCAGUGCCAGGAGACACUGGGUCGUGUCAGCGGAGAGGAUAAGGAAGUAAAAAUAGAUGUCGGAGGCAGCGAUGCUUGAGUUUCCUAAUGAUUGUCUUUGAAGAAACUGAAAAUAAAAAGAUCUUGUGUUGCCACACAAGUCCAAAAAUUAAAGUUGCUGACUAAGCUGGAACCUAUUGGCAAGGUAGCAUAAAAAGCACAUUUUUUAAAGUCUUCUCUGUAUGUGAGGAACAUAACAAAAAUUCAAAGUCAAAACUCAAAAUAUGUCUGCAAAGACUCACAGGAGGUCUUUUACUUUGUAUUGAAGCAGAGUUUCAUUGGCAGCUAAUAUUACAGCUGCCAGGUAAUCAGCAACAACAGACUACUCUCACAAAGAAGAUGAACUAAGUAGAGUUGGAGGGACAGCUUAGUGGAUCAGAACACUUGUUGCUCUGCAAGGGGAUCUGGGUUUGGUUCCCAAUACCCACAUGGAGGCUCAAAACCACCCAAACUUGAGUUCCAGGAGAUCUGAUGAUAUCUUCUUGCUUCUGUGGGUACCGGGCAUGUGGUACACAUAUACAUAUGCAAGCAAGACACUUUUACACACACACACAUACACAAUAAUGACAAGCUAAUGAUAUAUGAAACAAAAAAUGUGCUAAUCUUAGUAACAGCUUACACAAGAGUCUAUCAAUGUGAUUCAGGCUCAUGAUUUGGCACUAUCACAUACGUAGUGAUCUGUGAUGUAGUGGUUCACAGACCCUCCAGAAGGGUUAGAGAGGAAACAUUUUGGAAUGAUGCUGUCCUAUGGCUUAGUAGAGGUUUGCAUUCACAAUAAUAUAAUGUAUACCAAUGGUACACUUCAGUUUUGUGCAAUUCACUGUUAAGCAUUAAUAGUGAGGCACACCUAUAAUCCUGGCACUCAGGAGGCUGAGACAGGUGCAGAGAAAGUUCAAGGCCAGCCUGGACUACAAGGUGAGACUGUAUCAAUUAUACAAAGCCAAACUAGAAACAAGUUGAAAGUAUGUGGCAGAAUACUUUGAAACUACAGGUUGUAAAAAGAUUAAAAAAACAAAACAGAACAAAAAACCUAAUAUUCUAUACUGAAGUAAAAGAAAAAAAAAUGCAACGGAUAAUAUUAAAACCCAAAAACCUUGAGUACCAACUUGGCCAGGACUCAAUACAGUGCAUUCUCCCAAAUCUUAUCAGAGAAACUUAUUGCAGUAGACGGUAUAACAUGAAGACCUGCAAGUGGACUGUGUGGAGAGAAUGGGACUGUGAUGCACUCAAUCCUGAAAGAUGUCUUCAUUACUGCACCCCCUUUCUUCACACUGUAUGAAGGUGGGCCCUGCAUUUUCAGUUGUUAGUCCUGGCAGAGAGUUAAAUGCUGGCAGGAUUUUGGUACUGCCAUUUCUAUGACACAUGACCCAGUUUUUCAUAUGUAAAUGCUUGUCUUUCCUUCCCUGCCCAAAAGAUGAAGGUCACCAACCCUCAUUGACAAACUAAAGGCCACCCUAAGAGAUAGAUCUGGCAAUGUCUUGCUGUUGAGUGGUUAAGACUGAAAUGUGUGUUUUGUGUAAUAAAGAGCUGACAUCUGGACCUGGGGCAGGAAGUAUGGUGGGGAAGGAGAAGGGGGAGAGGAGAGGGAGAGGAGAAAAAAAUGAGAGAAAAUGGAGGGCAGGGGGAGGGAAAUGAAGAGGGCAGACAGGGAAGAGAAUGGAAAGGAGCAGGAAGGUAAAGAGCUAGCUAGCUUUGUGGCAGGGACAAAGUGUAUAUAGAGGGGGAGUCAGGUUAAGUUAGAAGCUAGCUGAGUCUGCCCCAGCUAAAGGACAACAGCUUUAAGCUAUGUAAGAAGCCUCAUGCUUAAUUAGAGAGCUGGUCCAAGAAAGCCCUGUAAUACCCAGGGCUCAGGGAUCUAUGCAAAAGAAGAGGUGAAAAGACUUUCUAGAUACAUAGGGGUGAUAUACACAUGGACUCACAGAGACUGACAGAUACAGAAGGACCAGCACAGGUACAAACCAGACAAAAUCCUAACCCCAACCAAGAAGCUAUUUGUAAUUGUUAUCUUCUGGGAAAAGGAAAAUGAGUUUUCUACAAUGGUGUAUCUCUAGGUUUAUCAAUCAUAUUCCAGGACAGGUCCCAUGCCCAAGAGUAGCUGGUCAACAUAAAGCACAUCUCAUGUGUUUUGUGUGCAUUUUAUUUUAUUUAUUAUUCUUUGUCUUAUUGGUCUUAUUAUUCGUUUAGUUUUUUAAAACAAGGUCUCACCAUGUAGCCUUGGCUGGCUUGGAGCUCACUAUGUAGACUAACUAGGUUGGCUUCAUAAAGAUUCUCCUGAUGGCCUCCUGAGUGCUAAGAUUAAUGGCGUGCACCAACUAUUACUGUAUCAUUUGUACAAUAAAUAAACAUCUGGAAGCAAUCCAGAAAUCCAUUAUUGGCAGAAUGGUAAUUGAGUCAAUACCAAAGAAUGAAAACUAAUCAACAUGGCUCAUUGUAGCAACAUGCCAUUCAAACAUGUACAUAUAUAUACAUAUACAUAGGUAUAUAUGUGUUUUAUUUUUUAGUGGUGCUGACUGAACUGAGGACAUUGUGCCUACUAGGUGGGCAUUCUACCACUGAGCUACAUCUCUAGCCCUCAGAACACCAGUGACUGAAAUAAAGCAAUAUAAAUCCAGUCACAUACUAGACAGAAAUGAAAAGACAAGGCUUUAAGGAAAGGCAAAUGAUUACAGCACUCAGGGGAUCAGUUGCAUUUAAGGAAAGAUUUAGCAGGACCUAUUCCCAAGUAAAGACAGUGCCUUAUAUAUGAGGCUAGCCUCAAACUGAAUAGGUAGCCAAGGGUGACCCUGAACUUCAACCUCUACCUCUGAAGUGCUAGGAAUUCAGCAGCUCAUGAAAAUGUUCCUAAUGGAAACAUGUGUCACAUGUUAACCUUUCUCUAUUUGUUUCAAUCUUUUGAGAUAUGCUUUUACUGUGAAUUCCAGACUGACCUUGAACUACUGAAUUCUGGCAUUCUGGGAUUCCAAGUAUGUACGCCCAUACCUACAAUGCUAUCAUAAUGCUGCACAUGCUUGCUUCUAAAUACUAUUCUGGAUCUAUUUAAACUUUAUUUAAUGUAAGUAAAAUAUAAUAAACAACACUCAAUAACAAAACGGUGAAUUUGGUCUUUAAUGGUUCUCUGCCUACCCGAAAGGCCUUAUGCAUCCUCAUGGUGGCUGAACAGAAGACAAACCUUGUGAGAAGCAAUCGAAGAAAUUCAUCUCCAAAAAACUGGAGGAAGGCCUGAUCUGCAGAGAGGAAGGGACAGUGAAAGGAGGAAUAUGAACAUCAUUUUGAGUAUUGUGGACCACGCAGAUCUGGGUAAUACCACAACACUGAGACAGGAUAUUCUCAGAAUAAGGAUUAUAACCUGAAAUGGGAGCACAGAUAUCAACCUGAGUUUCUGUGGAACCACUAUAAUAACUAGCCCCGGAAGGCUUGAACUCAAUUUGUAUAUUUGAAAAGAACUAAGUUUCUAGUUUCAAAUCUUCAGCAUUUGGUGUCAGUCACAACUGCUGCCAGGAACCUGUCCACAUCUCCCCAACCCCAAGCACUUACUCCUAUACCCAACACCUGCAGGUUUCUCUAAGGUGACUUCAUGCAGGGUACUGGCACUUCCCGACCUAUCCAUCCCUGCAUGGGAGGUCCCAAGGACACAAGAACCAGUCUCUACUUUAUGGUCACUGACUUUGUUUAACUCUAGCUGUCCACCUAGCUUUUCUUGAUGUUAAUCCUCUGCUUGGGAGAGGACUCAGUUUCCAGAGGCCGAGUCCUGCUUACUUUCUGAAGUUCUUUCUAGCGAUGAAUCUUUAUCUCAAGAUCAGAUUCUGCUCAGUCUAAGGACAGUGGUUAGGGUUCUUCAUAGUUAACAAUUGUACGACAUUUCACAUCUUUUUCUUUGUGUAUCAAGCAUGAUAUUUUCUUAAAUGAAAAUGAAAUUGUACAAUAUAAAUUAUGCAACUUGUACUUGUCAUUUAAAAUGUCAGGUCAUAUUUGAUAACCGUUGUUUAUGUGUAUGUAUAGAGAUACAUGCAUAUUAAAUGUAGAUAUAAUGUAUCA